rnacentral:sRNA from 1 species
GGGCUGCUGACGCUUAGCCUGGAGCCCGCGGGGGAGACCUAGUUCGGCUCCGCCAUGCCGGCCGCCGGGAGUAACGAGCCGGACGGCGUCCUCAGCUAUCAGAGACCAGAUGAAGAAGCUGUGGUGGAUCAGGGUGGGACCAGUACAAUUCUCAACAUUCACUAUGAAAAAGAAGAGCUGGAAGGUAAGAACUACCAUGCUGUGUGAUCAGGGAAAUUGGUGAGGGGCAGCCUGGUGUGGGAAGACC